rnacentral:misc_RNA from 1 species
AACUCCAGUGCUGUGUGUCGAAUCUGACUAUCCACAGAACUAAGGAAUAUAAGACCAACUGCAUCAAUCUCCGAAGCAUGAAAUUCGAUUGUUUGGGAGUGAUGGAAAGAAGACUUCUUGAAUCCCUCCGUUCUCUGAACACGCUUUGCAUCCGAAACAUCAUACUCCACCCUAUCGUCAGUUAGGCAAGCUCUCCAGAAACACAUAAGUUCCAAAAGGCGUUUCAGAGACGUUUGAAUGAGAAGAGGGAAGUCAUCUGGAAGACGCAUAAUAAAGUUUGCCAUCCCUCUCAUAACUGCAAAU